CAAAUACCCACCAUUUACUUCGACGUGGAUGGAACUGGAGGGUAUUAUGCUGAGUGAAGGCUCGAACUCAACCUUGAGGACAAGAGUUGAGCUCUCUACUGACUAAGCAGGGCAGAUGCCCCUGGAAUCUCAUCCUUAAGACACAUGCAUAGACUCAGAUAGAAUCAGACAGCUCAAAGAAACUCAGAUAGACUUUCUGGAGCCAAUAAAGCCCCUUGGAAAAUGUUGGCCUGAUACCUUCCUUACAGCUCCCCACAGCUUUACCAGGGAUGACAUCAGUGACCAUGUCUGUCUACCUGGAGAGGAAGAAAAUAUUCCUGCUGAACCCUGGUUUUCCACACUGUGGACAACAGGACCCCCUCCAACCUGACCCAGGAACUCCCUUACUCUGAGCCAAGGACAGGGGGUCUUGUUUUGUUUUUAGGUUGUGGUUAAAUAUAGACAUCACCUACAAUGGAGCAUUUUAGCCUUUUCUAAGCCUAGAGUUCAGCAG